CUACGGGGGGCAGCAGUGGGGAAUAUUGGACAAUGGGGGAAACCCUGAUCCAGCAAUGCCGCGUGUGUGAAGAAGGCCUGCGGGUUGUAAAGCACUUUCGGUUGGGAGGACUGCUUCUAGCACUAAUAUUGUUGGAAGUUGACGUUACCUUCAGAAGAAGCACCGGGUAACUCCGUGCCAGCAGCCGCGGUAAUACGGAGGGUGCAAGCGUUAAGCGGAAUUACUGGGCGUAAAGCGCGCGUAGGCGGCUAGAUCAGUCGGGUGUGAAAGCCCCGGGCUUAACCUGGGAACUGCAUCCGAUACUGUCUAGCUUGAGUACAGGAGAGGAGAGUGGAAUUCCACAUGUAGCGGUGAAAUGCGUAGAUAUGUGGAGGAACACCAAUGGCGAAGGCAGCUCUCUGUCCUGAUACUGACGCUGAGGUACGAAAGCGUGGGGAGCAAACAGGAUUAGAUACCCUAGUAGUC
rnacentral:rRNA from 1 species